GGCAGCAGUGAGGAAUAUUGGUCAAUGGGCGCAAGCCUGAACCAGCCAUGCCGCGUGCAGGAUGACGGUCCUAUGGAUUGUAAACUGCUUUUAUACGGGAAGAAACACUCCUACGUGUAGGAACUUGACGGUACCGUAAGAAUAAGGAUCGGCUAACUCCGUGCCAGCAGCCGCGGUAAUACGGAGGAUCCAAGCGUUAUCCGGAAUCAUUGGGUUUAAAGGGUCCGUAGGCGGUUUAAUAAGUCAGUGGUGAAAGCCCAUCGCUUAACGAUGGAACGGCCAUUGAUACUGUUAGACUUGAAUUAGUGGGAAGUAACUAGAAUAUGUAGUGUAGCGGUGAAAUGCUUAGAUAUUACAUGGAAUACCAAUUGCGAAGGCAGGUUACUAUCACUAUAUUGACGCUGAUGGACGAAAGCGUGGGGAGCGAACAGGAUUAGAUACCCUGGUAGUCCACGCCGUAAACGAUGGAUACUAGCUGUUCGGUGCAAACUGAGUGGCUAAGCGAAAGUGAUAAGUAUCCCACCUGGGGAGUACGUUCGCAAGAAUGAAACUCAAAGGAAUUGACGGGGGCCCGCACAAGCGGAGGAGCAUGUGGUUUAAUUCGAUGAUACGCAGGAACCUUACCAGGGCUUAAAUGGGAGACGACAGAUCUGGAAACAGGUUUUUCUUCGGACGUCUUUCAAGGUGCUGCAUGGUUGUCGUCAGCUCGUGCCGUGAGGUGUCAGGUUAAGUCCUAUAACGAGCGCAACCCUAUUGUUAGUGCCAGCGGGUCAUGCGGGAACUCUACAAGACUGC
rnacentral:rRNA from 1 species